UAACCAGGAAUAUUCAUGUACAUGUGUAUAUAAGAAUAAAUAUACAUAUUUACAUAAAUAUAUCCUUGGGCAACACGGAGGACAUUCAAAACUUGCUAAAUAUUUACCAAACACAGAACGUUAAACAGCUAUUAAAUGCAGAAUUGCAACGCUAUUUUCUUUCACUCAUCUGACCAAACAUAUAACAAGGACUGUAUGUAAACCCUGUGACCCAGGCAGGGGCUAAAGAAGGCACCUUUUUAUUUCUCAUUUUUAAUUUUUGUUUUUUGAUAGUUCCUUACUUUUCUUUUUCAUUCAUGUGCUGAGCAAAAUCUUUUCAGCAGGCAUGGAUUUGCAGCGAAAUUUUGCCACUGGCAAUUUUGUUUGCAAAACUGUCGCAAAAAGUCGUACCCAUGUCAAAAAAGUUGCACAGUAGCUGCAUUUCGUGAAUUUUUUUGCUGUUUCGGGACAGAUUCGCUCAUCACUAAUGUUUUCUGAUUUACAGCAAUAUUUCAUCCAGCAAAGGUUACUUACUGUACCUUAUUUAACUAGAUGCUGCUUUUCAAUCUAAAAUCGUUCCAUGCAACUCAGUAGGUCAGGUGCCCAAGAGAGAAGGAACCUGACUUACAUGUAAUUUCCCCCCUUCCCUCCCUGAGCCCCCCUGACCCUUCCUUCCCUGACCCUUCCCUCCCUGACCCUUCCCUCCCUGACCCCCCUGACCCUUUCCUCUCCUCUUCCUCUCAAUAGGAGACAAAAAUUCUUAGCAAACACUUGUUUCUUUAAUGAUGUUACUUUAUACAAUUCCUUGUAAUACUAUAUUUAUGCUCUCUGUGAGUCCUAAAGAGAGUGACAUCUAUUUAAUUGGAUCGACUCAUGCUGAAUAUAAAUCUUUACAAACAUCCUACUGGAAUAAACAAUAAGUACAUUUUUUUUCUCCUUUGCAUCUCCAUUUCAAGUUUGUAUUUGCCUCUGUUUCAAAUGUCUGAUUUAGAACAUGCAUUCUUCUGAGUCAUGGACAAGAUAUAAAAUAAUAUUUGUAUCUGUGUGUUCAAUACUUUUUAAAUAACAUUUUGUAAUGCAAUUUUUGUUUCUGAAUUUACCAGUAAAAUGUUUCAUGUAUUUAUAUUUUUAUUUUGUUUUUCUCAUUUGAAGAUACUAUAUCUUCAAUUUCAGAAAUAAUCCCUAAUGUCUACCUAUGGAGCUGAAGCACAAAGAGAUUAAUACAAUUAUACAAAUAAAGUUAUAAUAAUUAAGCACAGCAACAUAGCAAUUUACAAAUGUUUGCAUUAAAAUAACAUAUAACUGUCUAACUGUUCUUCCCUGAAUCUAUAGCCUUUUUAGGAUACAAAGUGGCAACUCCCAGGUGUAUAACCGUACAUUUAUCAACACUGAAUCUUAUCUGCCACUUAGCUACCCAGAUUCAAGUUUGUCAAGAUCCUGCUGCAAGGAUGCCAUAUCCUGAAUGGAAUUAAUUGGCCUAAUUAGUUUUGUACAAUAAACACAGAUGCACUUUUUAUAAAGCAUGUCCUCUAGUCAUUAUUAAAAAAAAUAUAUAUGUGAGUCCAAUACAGAAUCCCACAGCAACCACUAGGGGCCAUACUCUAAAUAGAGAACUUACCAUUGACAACCACCAAAUGCUUAAAUGCUGCAUUCCGAUUAUCUUCUACUACUAUACUACUAUUGUGACUGUUUUAGCUUACAGAUAAGCAGAAGUUUAUUAUGUACUUAAAAAAAAAUAAUAAUAGGAAACAGUUUGUUAAGCACAAGUCCUAUUCAGUGAACUAAUCUUGAACACAGGGGUAUACUGCCCCUUUAAGCACUUGUACCAUGGGGAAAGGUAAAAUGAUUCAACCUUGGAAUUACCAGCAGAAUGACUGUAUUGCGCCAAUCAUAAACAUUUAAUUUAGACAGUCAAUUUAAAAAAUCUCUGAUGUUAUUUUUAAGUAUUGAAUAGUGUGUACUAAAGACAGGAAUGCAGCAUCAAUACUGGAAAUGCAUCCACAUAUCCUAAUUCAUAUUUACAUUCUUUACAUUCCUUGUAGAAAUGAAGCAACAAGAAAUGAAAGAGACACAAACAGACUCUGUUCAAACGAAGCAUCAACCAUGUUUGAUAAAUAUUCCAUUCAAAAUAAAGUUUAGCUAGCACGCAAUAUUAGCGCACAGUAUUGCGCACGUAAACGUUACGUGUCACAUACCACAUGACUUCCACCAUUUUCCCCAUUGCCACUGUGAGUCGCAAGAUGGAGGAUGCCGAUAGUACAGCUGCACAAACACCAUCUGAACCGCUUAAAAGGAACCCUUUGGCAAGGCAAACAAUGGAAAGGAGGGGCAACAACGAUAUUGAAGACAGCAGUGGCAGUAAUAAAUAGCUGAAAAAAAAGGAGGACCAAGGUAUGCUGGGCAUGAUAGAGAUGAACGUCCAAGAGGUCACUGGGUUGGAAAGUCAGCAAGUCAACUCCGCAGAAAACCACACCAAUCUCCUGAAAUGGAAAAGAGAAGGUUUAUUGUUGAUGAUAAUGCAAGAUAGUGUCCUGAAAAUUUUAGUGAUUAUGCUGUAUUUUCUUAUGAUGCCAAUGAUUCUGGUAAUGAUAAUAAUUAUAACCCCUCAGAAUGCCCACAACAAGCACUUGUUAAAUGUAAGGUCAAAUCCACAAAUACUACUGUUACCCCAAAAAUACUUGAACCAGAAAAAAAAUUGUUUCCAUAACUCUCUUAUCAAUUAUCAAAAAUCUCUCAUGAAAAAAAUGCAUGUUGUUCAUCUUGAUCUGUGUAUCACCACAACAUGUUACAACAACAGUCAGGGACGACUAGCCUCACACGAGGCAGCUAUGUUAAAGAUGCAUGAGCAACACUUAAAGGUCAAGGAACAACAUAUUUCUUUGCUGGAAAAACAAAAUGCCAUUUUAGAUAACAUGAGUAAUUGUCAACAAGUUGCUAAGUGUUAUAGAUUGCAGUCGUAUAGUGCCAACACGCUGUAGUAGGAUAGAUAGUGCAGAUAGUUCAGCAAGCUCUCCAACUUCACAACAAAAAAAAAAUAAUUUGUCAUGUUUUGUUGAUAUGCUGAGGGGCAGAUUUGUUUAAAGUGUUUAAUUAGAGUUCCUCACUGUAAAUAUGCAAGAAAAGAGUUAUUUUAAUGUUAGCAAACAUUACUCCUGUGUGAUCAUAGUGGUAUGUAAAUAAACAUUUCUCUUUUAAAUAUUUGUGGGGGGGACUCACCCGCUCCAAGGGACAAUGAGCCUUAGUGGAGAAAAUCCAGUUAUGUUUUCAUAUACAACUAUUUUCAAGUUAGCUGUUGCAGCUUAAUUACUUCAUUAUUAGCACCAAUAAGGAGUUAGUGAAUAAUAGUUACUGUGAAUGCAGAAAUAUUGCAUAUUGCCACUCACUACUGCUGUGCUCAAUAAAAUAAAUGAGCAUUUUUUUUUUUAAAGCAACUAUUUUCACUGGAAAUAAGGAGUAUUGUUUCAGAUGUUGUUUUGUGUUUCUUUUUUAUUUAUUAAAGACUGUAGGUACUUACACGCAAAGUAAUAGUUUACGAUUUCUCCCCGUACUCAAUUGCCUCUGUCAUCUGCACUUUGUACACAAUGUAUGAUUCUCUUCUUCACAAUCCAACAAAAAUCCGACUGCAAACUCUAUGUUGUUAUCACAAACGCUUAUGAACCGCAAUGUUUUUGGAGUAACGCCCACUCCUACUAGGGGUUAAUAUUAGCACAAAUUAUUGUGAUAUUUUAUGCUUUUAACGCUUCAAAUAUAUCUGUGAA